AACGAACGCUGGCGGCGGGCUUAACACAUGCAAGUCGAGCGCCCCGCAAGGGGAGCGGCAGACGGGUGAGUAACGCGUGGGAAUCUACCGAGCCCUAAGGAAUAGCUCCGGGAAACUGGAAUUAAUACCUUAUACGCCCUUUGGGGGAAAGAAUUAUCGGGGUUUGAUGAGCCCGCGUUGGAUUAGCUAGUUGGUGGGGUAAAGGCCUACCAAGGCGACGAUCCAUAGCUGGUCUGAGAGGAUGAUCAGCCACAUUGGGACUGAGACACGGCCCAAACUCCUACGGGAGGCAGCAGUGGGGAAUAUUGGACAAUGGGCGCAAGCCUGAUCCAGCCAUGCCGCGUGAGUGAUGAAGGCCCUAGGGUUGUAAAGCUCUUUCACCGGUGAAGAUAAUGACGGUGACCGGAGAAGAAGCCCCGGCUAACUUCGUGCCAGCCGCCGCGGUAA
rnacentral:rRNA from 1 species